rnacentral:sRNA from 1 species
CGGAUAGCUCCGGCUGAACCGCCAGACCCCCGACCCGGCGGUUCAGCCGGAGCUCUUGU